rnacentral:lncRNA from 1 species
AGCCUCUUUACCCUUUGUGUAUUACUCCGCCCACAUACAGCCAGCAACAAGCAAACACUACAUUUUGACAAAUAUUACUGUUGUUAGACAACAAAAUAUAAUUUUGAGGCUUUUUAGUCGAGAAUGUAGUUGUUUAGAUUGCAACUAUGCAGUUUAUUUGCAAGAACAUAGCCUAUUUUUAAAUAUUUACAAUGUCUGAGAGACAGCUUGUCGGCGACAGUUGACGUUUUCUAUCCGCAAGAUGGCGACAGAACCGCAUAAUAAGCCCUUACGCUUAGAAGAUAUAACAGUCUGAUUUCUAAUAUAGCAGAUUAAAUUAAUAUUAAACUGGUAAGCACACCUGCCAACAUUUCCGUUUUUUAUGGGAGUAUCCCGUAUUUCAGACCAAUUUUAGUCUCCUGCAAACAUCCCGUUUUUUUUUUCUUUCUAAAAAAACUCCCGUAAGUUCACCCACCCCCCUCUUUGGUACAAUCUGUAAACUAAACACCCCCGGGUUGCCAACUUUGGUACAGUACCCGAUCAAAGCGGCCGCCCAAAACCCGCUGCAUCCUCCUCAAAGUCCGCAUGUGUUUAGCGUUUUUCCUUAUCGCAAACACAACAGCAGUCUGGUAACGUUAGUGGAUUCGUUGUUAUUUUCGGGGUUAAUUUUUGUGAAAUGCCGAUUGCAACAGUGAAAUACUGCAGACUAUAACACUGUAAGAAGAUAUCUCUGUAGACAUAUGACAUUUCAUGUCACGUUCAGCCUUAUAAUCUUAUAGUGUAAGCACAAUCAGCAGUUUUGCCAUCACUUUAGACAGAGUCAUUAAAACACUAUCUCUAAAGUGACGUUGGUGAAUUAGUAAUGCUUCUGCUGUUCUGACGUCAGCUACAGAUGUGAAUGAAUGGCGGAUGAAAGUAGUUCCUAAUAAAAAAAAAAAGGGUUUUUAGACUCUC